AUUACAUUGGGUCAUGCAUGAGGCAAUCAUCCAACCCGUAAUCAAGUGAGUGAAUUUGCCCGGGAGGUGUCAUUCUUCAAGAGAUGUGGCAGCGCUGGGCUGAGAAGCCCCUGAGGUCUGGCCGCAUGCAGCAUUUGGGCUCUGAGAUGCUCCUAGAACUUAUUGGGGGCUUCCAUCUUUCUUCUCCCAUGAGAUGG